GUAGACUAGGUAUUUCCAUAAAUACACUAUGUUUACAUAUCGUACGAUUACCGUAAGUCGACCAUGACCUAAUUUCGACCACUUUGUUUACAUUAAGAACGCGGCCAUUUGGAUGACGUCACACGCAAGCGCUCCGAGUAUUUCGAUGAAGUGACAUAACUACGCUUAUAAACAAAAACAAAUAAAAACAAAAUAAGGAAAAAACAGUUCGUGUUGAAAUUGUUCAGAGAAGCGAAGUUUUAAGUUAAGUUGGCCUAAUCCAUUACCAAUAGAGUGCUGUCCCUUUCCUGGAUGUGACGUAUCGACUUAAGAGUUAGCCAGACCAUGAUUGAGCUUAAGGAUUGUGCUGCGGAUGCAGCCUGUGCAGUUCCGGGAGAAAGUCACUGUCUUGGGCAAUGCGGUCUGGUAUCAGGUCUGGAUGAUCAUUGCCUGACUGCGGGUUUGUGUACACCUCAAUCCGACUCUGUGUCCUGAACAGAGGCCGCAGUGGUGCAGCGCUUGUGGACGUUCCAUCAACAUCCUGAAAGGUCAACACUACACCAAGCUGGGAAAAUUGAUCCUGAUAGUCAUCCCCAGGCCUGACCGUUUGUCCUUGAGCCGUAGAUGGUCAACAAUCCGCUAGCUGUCUUGCUCUGACUGGUGCACUGGACAUGAUUUCAAUUUCGUGUUGAAAUUGUUCAGAGAAGCGAAGUUUUAAGUUAAGUUGGCCUAAUCCAUUACCAAUAGAGUGCUGUCCCUUUCCUGGAUGUGACGUAUCGACUUAAGAGUUAGCCAGACCAUGAUUGAGCUUAAGGAUUGUGCUGCGGAUGCAGCCUGUGCAGUUCCGGGAGAAAGUCACUGUCUUGGGCAAUGCGGUCUGGUAUCAGGUCUGGAUGAUCAUUGCCUGACUGCGGGUUUGUGUACACCUCAAUCCGACUCUGUGUCCUGAACAGAGGCCGCAGUGGUGCAGCGCUUGUGGACGUUCCAUCAACAUCCUGAAAGGUCAACACUACACCAAGCUGGGAAAAUUGAUCCUGAUAGUCAUCCCCAGGCCUGACCGUUUGUCCUUGAGCCGUAGAUGGUCAACAAUCCGCUAGCUGUCUUGCUCUGACUGGUGCACUGGACAUGAUUUCAAUAACGCGGCCAUUUGGAUGACGUCACACGCAAGCGCUCCGAGUAUUUCGAUGAAGUGACAUAACUACGCUUAUAAACAAAAACAAAUAAAAACAAAAUAAGGAAAAAACAGGCUUAUCUAAAACGACUUUUGUAAAAUGGGCACAGUGUGACAAUAGAGCCUGCAACCACUGGGUACACCUGUCAGUUUGUACAGAAAUUAAAGUCAUCAGAAGAGUUCGUGUUGAAAUUGUUCAGAGAAGCGAAGUUUUAAGUUAAGUUGGCCUAAUCCAUUACCAAUAGAGUGCUGUCCCUUUCCUGGAUGUGACGUAUCGACUUAAGAGUUAGCCAGACCAUGAUUGAGCUUAAGGAUUGUGCUGCGGAUGCAGCCUGUGCAGUUCCGGGAGAAAGUCACUGUCUUGGGCAAUGCGGUCUGGUAUCAGGUCUGGAUGAUCAUUGCCUGACUGCGGGUUUGUGUACACCUCAAUCCGACUCUGUGUCCUGAACAGAGGCCGCAGUGGUGCAGCGCUUGUGGACGUUCCAUCAACAUCCUGAAAGGUCAACACUACACCAAGCUGGGAAAAUUGAUCCUGAUAGUCAUCCCCAGGCCUGACCGUUUGUCCUUGAGCCGUAGAUGGUCAACAAUCCGCUAGCUGUCUUGCUCUGACUGGUGCACUGGACAUGAUUUCAAUUUCGUGUUGAAAUUGUUCAGAGAAGCGAAGUUUUAAGUUAAGUUGGCCUAAUCCAUUACCAAUAGAGUGCUGUCCCUUUCCUGGAUGUGACGUAUCGACUUAAGAGUUAGCCAGACCAUGAUUGAGCUUAAGGAUUGUGCUGCGGAUGCAGCCUGUGCAGUUCCGGGAGAAAGUCACUGUCUUGGGCAAUGCGGUCUGGUAUCAGGUCUGGAUGAUCAUUGCCUGACUGCGGGUUUGUGUACACCUCAAUCCGACUCUGUGUCCUGAACAGAGGCCGCAGUGGUGCAGCGCUUGUGGACGUUCCAUCAACAUCCUGAAAGGUCAACACUACACCAAGCUGGGAAAAUUGAUCCUGAUAGUCAUCCCCAGGCCUGACCGUUUGUCCUUGAGCCGUAGAUGGUCAACAAUCCGCUAGCUGUCUUGCUCUGACUGGUGCACUGGACAUGAUUUCAAUAACGCGGCCAUUUGGAUGACGUCACACGCAAGCGCUCCGAGUAUUUCGAUGAAGUGACAUAACUACGCUUAUAAACAAAAACAAAUAAAAACAAAAUAAGGAAAAAACAGUUCGUGUUGAAAUUGUUCAGAGAAGCGAAGUUUUAAGUUAAGUUGGCCUAAUCCAUUACCAAUAGAGUGCUGUCCCUUUCCUGGAUGUGACGUAUCGACUUAAGAGUUAGCCAGACCAUGAUUGAGCUUAAGGAUUGUGCUGCGGAUGCAGCCUGUGCAGUUCCGGGAGAAAGUCACUGUCUUGGGCAAUGCGGUCUGGUAUCAGGUAAGCA